rnacentral:lncRNA from 1 species
CUACCACCUUAUCAUGGUGGAGGGGUUUGUGUGUCCCAAUGAUCCCAGGAGCUAUGUUGUCAGGGCUUUAUGCCUCUGAAAGGUCACCCAAGGCAAACAGGUCCUGGGGGAGAGACCAGACUAAGAGUAGCUCAUCCAGACAGAGGUGCCAGGCAAGAAAAAUAGGAAAAAAGAAAAACUGAAGAAAACAAACUAAAGAAAACAAAAAGACAAAAGAAUAGUAUUUCUGAAAAUAAACAACUUUAAAAAAUAUUUUUUAAAAACUAAAAAAAAAACUUAAAACAGGCAGAAAAAAAACUAAAGACAACUACAAAAAGAAGAAAAAGAAUAGUAUUUGUAAAAAGAAAAGACUAAAAGAAAAAGAAACAUAACAGUAUUUCUAAAAAAAAACUUAAAACAGGCAGAAAAAUAAAAAAGAUAUAUUGGAAACUAAAGAAAAGAAAAGUAUUUCUGGAAAAAAUAAAAAAAACUGAAAACAGGCAAAAAAAACUAAAGAAAACUAAAACAAGGGAAAGAACAGUAUAAACAAAAUAGAAAAAACAGAAAGAAAAGUAUAUCUGAAAAAAACACUUUAAAUAUAUAUAAAUAACAAAAAACUAAAAAUAACUAAAAACAGGCAGAAAAAAACUAAAGAAAACUAAAAAAAAGAGAAAAAAUAGUAUAAACAAAAUAAAAAAAAGAAAGUAAAGUUUAUCUGAAAAAAACACUUUAAAUACAUAUAUAUAUAUAUAUAUAUAUAAAUAAAAAAAACUAAAAACAGGCUGAAAAAAACUAAAGAAAACUUAAAAAAGAGAAAGAAUAGUAUAAAUAAAAUAAAAAAACAGAAAGAAAAAUAUAUCUGAAAAAAAACACUUUAAAUAUAUAUAUAAUAAAAAAAGCUAAAAAAAAAUUAAAACAGGCAGAAAAAUAAAAAAGAUAUAUAGGAAACUAAAAACAAAGAAAAGUAUUUUUGAAAAAAAAAACAAACAAAAAAAACCCCACCCUAAACCGGGUGUUUCGCACAGAAAAAAAAACCCUUGCGGUUUUUCCCUCUCAUGUGAGGGUUUUUUCCCCUCCUUGAGCUACCACCUUACCGUGGUGGAGGGGUUUGUGUGUCCCAAUGAUCCCAGGAGCUAUGUUGUCAGGGCUUUAUGCCUCUAAAAGGUCACCCAAGGCAAACAGGUCCUGGGGGAGAGACCAGACUAAGAGUAACUCAUCCAGACAGAGGUGCCAGGCAAGAAAAAUAGGAAAAAAAAACUGAAGAAAACAAACUAAAGAAAACAAAAAGACAAAACAAUAGUAUUUCUGAAAAUAAACAACUUUAAAAAAUAUUUUUUAAAAACUAAAAAAAAAAACUUAAAACAGGCAGAAAAAAAACUAAAGACAACUACAAAAAGAAGAAAAAGAAUAGUAUUUGUAAAAAAAAAAGACUAAAAGAAAAAGAAACAUAACAGUAUUUCUAAAAAAAAAAACUUAAAACAGGCAGAAAAAUAAAAAAGAUAUAUUGGAAACUAAAGAAAAGAAAAGCAUUUCUGGAAAAAAUAAAAAAAACUGAAAACAGGCAAAAAAAACUAAAGAAAACUAAAACAAGAGAAAGAACAGUAUAAACAAAAUAGAAAAAACAGAAAGAAAAGUAUAUCUGAAAAAAAACACUUUAAAUAUAUAUAAAUAACAAAAAAACUAAAAAUAACUAAAAACAGGCAGAAAAAAACUAAAGAAAACUAAAAAAAGAGAAAAAAUAGUAUAAACAAAAUAAAAAAAAGAAAGUAAAGUUUAUCUGAAAAAAACACUUUAAAUACACAUAUAUAUAUAUAUAAAAAUAAAAAAAACUAAAAACAGGCUGAAAAAAACUAAAGAAAACUUAAAAAAGAGAAAGAAUAGUAUAAAUAAAAUAAAAAAACAGAAAGAAAAAUAUAUCUGAAAAAAAACACUUUAAAUAUAUAUAUAACAAAAAAAGCUAAAAAAAAAUUAAAACAGGCAGAAAAAUAAAAAAGAUAUAUAGGAAACUAAAAACAAAGAAAAGUAUUUUUGAAAAAAAAAACAAACAAAAAAAACCCCACCCUAAACCGGGUGUUUCGCACAGAAAAAAAAACCCUUGCGGUUUUUCCCUCUCGUGAGGGUUUUUUCCCCUCCUUGAGCUACCACCUUAUCGUGGUGGAGGGGUUUGUGUGUCCCAAUGAUCCCAGGAGCUAUGUUGUCAGGGCUUUGUGCCUCUGAAAGGUCACCCAAGGCAAACAGGUCCAGGGGGAGAGACCAGACUAAGAGUAGCUCAUCCAGACAGAGGUGCCAGGCAAAAAAAUAGGAAAAAAAAAACCUGAAGAAAACAAACUAAAGAAAACAAAAAAGACAAAAGAAUACUAUUUCUGAGAAUAAACAACUUUAAAAAAUUUAAAAAGAAACUAAAAAAAAGACUUAAAACAGGCAGAAAAAAACCAAAGACAACUACAAAAAGAGAAAAAAGAAUAGUAUUUCUAAAAAAAACUUGAAAAAAACUAAAAAAAAACUUAAAACAGGCAG